AUUGAACGCUGGCGGCAGGCCUAACACAUGCAAGUCGAGCGGAUGAAGGGAGCUUGCUCCUGGAUUCAGCGGCGGACGGGUGAGUAAUGCCUAGGAAUCUGCCUGGUAGUGGGGGAUAACGUCCGGAAACGGGCGCUAAUACCGCAUACGUCCUGAGGGAGAAAGUGGGGGAUCUUCGGACCUCACGCUAUCAGAUGAGCCUAGGUCGGAUUAGCUAGUUGGUGGGGUAAAGGCCUACCAAGGCGACGAUCCGUAACUGGUCUGAGAGGAUGAUCAGUCACACUGGAACUGAGACACGGUCCAGACUCCUACGGGAGGCAGCAGUGGGGAAUAUUGGACAAUGGGCGAAAGCCUGAUCCAGCCAUGCCGCGUGUGUGAAGAAGGUCUUCGGAUUGUAAAGCACUUUAAGUUGGGAGGAGGGGCAGUAAGUUAAUACCUUGCUGUUUUGACGGUACCAACAGAAUAAGCACCGGCUAACUUCGUG
rnacentral:rRNA from 1 species